rnacentral:lncRNA from 11 species
UUUGAGGGGAGCCUUAACGAGUUGACAGGGGUUCAUUUAGCGUCCUCUUUUAAUGACAUCUUCUUUGCAGGUAUGUGAGCACAAGCAUGCAGAAGAAGAAUUUGCUGAAACCAUAGUUGAUGGAUGCACUGCUUAAUAUCAACUUUUAUUAUGUCCUACUUUGAGUAAAAACGUUUCACCAGAAACGAUCCCGCAACAAUUCCU